rnacentral:rRNA from 1 species
GCAAGUCUGGUGCCAGCAGCCGCGGUAAUUCCAGCUCCAAUAGCGUAUAUUAAAGUUGUUGCAGUUAAAAAGCUCGUAGUUGAACCUCGGGAUCAAUGGAUCGGUCAUGCCAUCGGUAUGUACUGGUCUCAUUGGUUCUCACCUUCUAAGGAACCAUGAUGUCAUUCAGUUGAUGUUGUGGGGAAUUAGGACUGUUACCUUGAAAAAAUUAGAGUGUUUAAAGCAGGCUAACGCUUGAAUACAUUAGCAUGGAAUAAUGAAAUAGGACAUCGCAUUCUAUUUUGUUGGUUUCUAGGAUCGAUGUAAUGAUUAAUAGGGAUAGUUGGGGGCAUUAGUAUUCAAUUGUCAGAGGUGAAAUUCUUGGAUUUAUUGAAGACUAACUACUGCGAAAGCAUUUGCCAAGGAUGUUUUCAUUAAUCAAGAGCGAAAGUUAGGGGAUCGAAGACGAUCAGAUACCGUCGUAGUCUUAACCAUAAACUAUGCCGACUAGGGAUCGGAUGAUGUUGAUUUUUUAAUGACUCAUUCGGCGCCUUACGGGAAAC